UACGUAGGGGGCAAGCGUUGUCCGGAAUCAUUGGGCGUAAAGCGCGUGUAGGCGGUCCGGUAAGUCCGCUGUGAAAGUCGGGGGCUCAACCCUCAGAUGCCGGUGGAUACUGUCGGGCUUGAGUACGGAAGAGGCGAGUGGAAUUCCUGGUGUAGCGGUGAAAUGCGCAGAUAUCAGGAGGAACACCAAUUGCGAAGGCAGCUCGCUGGGACGUUACUGACGCUGAGACGCGAAAGCGUGGGGAGCAAACAGG
rnacentral:rRNA from 1 species